GUGCUUGCUUUGGCAGCAUAUACACUAAAAUCAGAGUACACAGGAAAGGUUAGCAUGGCCCUGUGCAAAGAUGAUACUGAAAAUUGUGAAGUGUCCCAUUAUUUU